UUUUUCUUUACAUUUUUUCCUCCGAUUAUUAUUAAAAAGCAAUUUUUUUAAUUUUAUAAAUUGAUACUAAUGUCUGCUGUUACUCUUGUGUUUGCCCAUUUUUAAGUAACACGCUAAGUAUUGUAUUACUGAAACUAAUGAAACCAGUCAUUUCGCCAUGUGAAGAUGAACAUUAAACUUAUUAAAACGUUUUAUGUUUGUAAUCAUUAGUGAUUAAGUUUCCUCAAGG